rnacentral:rRNA from 1 species
AUGAACGCUGGCGGCGUGCCUAAUACAUGCAAGUCGAGCGAACAGACGAGGAGCUUGCUCCUCUGACGUUAGCGGCGGACGGGUGAGUAACACGUGGAUAACCUACCUAUAAGACUGGGAUAACUUCGGGAAACCGGAGCUAAUACCGGAUAAUAUAUUGAACCGCAUGGUUCAAUAGUGAAAGACGGUUUUGCUGUCACUUAUAGAUGGAUCCGCGCCGCAUUAGCUAGUUGGUAAGGUGACGGCUUACCAAGGCAACGAUGCGUAGCCGACCUGAGAGGGUGAUCGGCCACACUGGAACUGAGACACGGUCCAGACUCCUACGGGAGGCAGCAGUAGGGAAUCUUCCGCAAUGGGCGAAAGCCUGACGGAGCAACGCCGCGUGAGUGAUGAAGGUCUUCGGAUCGUAAAACUCUGUUAUUAGGGAAGAACAAAUGUGUAAGUAACUAUGCACGUCUUGACGGUACCUAAUCAGAAAGCCACGGCUAACUACGUG